GAAGUUUGAACCUAACUUCUUGUAAAACUGGGGACAUAAAAGCAUUGCAUCAUUUCUGGCACAUUGAGAUACAUGGAUAAUGAGUUCACAGGACAUGCAUAUAUCUUAGUACUCUCAGAAUUGCCUUCAGUAUCACUGGCAAGUCUGAUUGAGAAGUUUUGCAAAGACUUCCAACAUUUUCUUCUGCCUAGAAAAGUAACCCUAAGACAAUGGCAGUGUCUAAUUGCUCUUGUGCUGAUUCAUGUCCUUCAAUGUUGAUGGAAAGCCAUACAGAACAACAUAUGGAAACCUUCACUGAAAACCAACAGCCAAGACUGCAUCAAUAAAAGUGCUUGGAAAGGCAUAGCCUCCUCCCAUGAAGAACAGUCCAAAAUAGACUUUGUCCAAAGAUAACAGCUUGUGGUCCCAGAACUGGCUCCAGGAAAACAGGGAGAAUAUGAAGGCUGUCCAGACAAGUCUAUGAAUUCUCAGCAACAUAUAUUGGCAAGGAAGAAUUGAAAUUGCUAUACCAAGUCAUCAUAUCAAGCUACUGGGAGUAACACUGUCAAUAGUAAAUUGCUAUGUUGCAAGACAGCAGGUAGCAGAGGAAGCUCCUAGCAGGGAGAGAUGGAUGAGAGAUAUAGUAGCUUACACCCCACCGGAAAGGAUUACCAGUGAAGCCCCAAAGGAACAUAAACAAUUUGAUAGAAUUCGGACAGAGAUUUUAGUAGCACAGGCAGAGGCUUUUUCAGUGAAAUCCUCCCCUCCAAUGCUAAGCACGUCAGGUGAGAGUCUAUGUUGUGCCUCUAGGAGAUGCAGCGCAGACCUCAAAGCCAAGAGUCAAAAGGGAAAAUAAUGACUUUACAUUACCUCUGCAUCCUCAUAAUUCUGGGCUAGCCCUGCGGAGUCGGCCUGAAUUUCUUCUGUUAUGUUCUGCCACCAUACACUUAACACAUCCAUCCUAUUCCAGCUUGGCUCUGUCCCUUUCUUGCCCCAGACUGAGCCAGAGUCUGGAAGAGAGAUUACAUACGUUUUACCUGCAAACACAUUUAUCUUGACGCAGAUAUAUGCCAAGACAAAUCUUAGUCUAAAUAUUUAGAGUUUGGCAAAGCAAUAAACACCUGAAGAGUCUAAAAUUGUGUUAUAAAAGCCGUAAUGAUAGAUAGGGUCCAUUUUGUGGAGGUGGGUUUCAUGUUUUCUGCAUUCUGAAGUCCUUAUUUAACUAUUCAUAUAUUUAACAAAAAAAAUCAACAAACCAAACCACUGCCAACACCACCAAAAAAAAAACAACCAACCAACCAAUCAAACAAAAAAAAACCAACAAAAAACCAGCCUAAAAUUUCAAAUUAUUGAGGCAAUUUACAUAUUCAUUCCCUUUCAGAUCUUUUGCCUCAUCAGCCACGUUACUUUGCAAAAAAUCUAGAUCUGUGAAUUCUUUUUAGGCAGGAUUCAAACCUGCACUACAAUGUUUUGUCUAGUGAUAUUAUCAGACAAAAGUAAUGCUAUUGUCUUUGUAAAUUGGAAGUCAUUGAAGUCAUAUCUCUCUGUAAAUAUAUAUAUGUGUAUUUAUAUAAAAAUUUUG